rnacentral:rRNA from 1 species
GAUGAACGCUAGCGGCAGGCUUAACACAUGCAAGUCGAGGGGCAGCGGUCUGUAGCAAUACAGAAGUCGGCGACCGGCGGAAGGGUGCGUAACGCGUGAACAACAUGCCCGUCACAGGGAGAUAAUCCAUGGAAACGUGGUCUAAUAUCGCAUAGAUUGUACAGCAGACAUCUGUGGUACAAGAAAGCAGCGAUGCGGUGACGGAUUGGUUCGCGUAACAUUAGUCAGAUGGUGAGGUAACGGCCCACCAUAGCUACGAUGUUUAGGGGUCCUGAGAGGGAGGUCCCCCACACUGGAACUGAGACACGGUCCAGACUCCUACGGGAGGCAGCAGUGAGGAAUAUUGGACAAUGGAUGGAAAUCUGAUCCAGCCAUGCCGCGUGCGGGAAGAAGGUCCUAUGGAUUGUAAACCGCUUUUGUACGGGAGCAAUAAGAUCUACGAGUAGAUUGAUGAGAGUACUGUACGAAUAAGCAUCGGCUAACUCCGUGCCAGCAGCCGCGGUAAUACGGAGGAUGCAAGCGUUAUCCGGAUUUAUUGGGUUUAAAGGGUGCGUAGGUGGACUGUCAAGUCUGUGGUGAAAAGUUCGCGCUCAACGCGAAUCGUGCCAUGGAAACUGGUGGUCUUGAAUAGGGGUGCCGUUGGCGGAAUGUGAAGUGUAGCGGUGAAAUGCAUAGAUAUUACACAGAACACCGAUUGCGAAAGCAGCUGACGAACCCUCGAUUGACACUGAGGCACGAAAGUGCGGGGAUCGAACAGGAUUAGAUACCCUGGUAGUCCGCACAGUAAACGAUGACAACUGGCUGUCGGCGAUAUACCGAUCGGUAGCGAAGCGAAAGCGUUAAGUUGUCCACCUGGGGAGUACGACCGCAAGGUUGAAACUCAAAGGAAUUGACGGGGGCCCGCACAAGCGGAGGAACAUGUGGUUUAAUUCGAUGAUACGCGAGGAACCUUACCCGGGCUUGAAUUGCAGAUGCAUGCGAUAGAGAUAUCAAAGUCCUUCGGGACAUCUGUGAAGGUGCUGCAUGGUUGUCGUCAGCUCGUGCCGUGAGGUGUCGGCUUAAGUGCCAUAACGAGCGCAACCCCUUUCUUCAGUUGCCAUCAGGUCAAGCUGGGCACUCUGGGGAUACUGCCACCGUAAGGUGUGAGGAAGGUGGGGAUGACGUCAAAUCAGCACGGCCCUUACGUCCGGGGCUACACACGUGUUACAAUGGGGAGUACAGAGAGCCGGGGUCCCGCAAGGUCCCCCUAAUCAAUAAAGCUCCUCCCAGUUCGGACUGGGGUCUGCAACCCGACCCCACGAAGCUGGAUUCGCUAGUAAUCGCGCAUCAGCCAUGGCGCGGUGAAUACGUUCCCGGGCCUUGUACACACCGCCCGUCAAGCCAUGAAAGCUGGGGGUGCCUGAAGUCCGUGACCGCAAGGAUCGGCCUAGGGCAAAACCGGUAAUUGGGGCU